rnacentral:rRNA from 1 species
GACGAACGCUGGCGGCGUGCUUAACACAUGCAAGUCGAACGGAAAGGCCCUGCUUUUGUGGGGUGCUCGAGUGGCGAACGGGUGAGUAACACGUGAGUAACCUGCCCUGGACUUUGGGAUAACUUCAGGAAACGGGGGCUAAUACCGGAUAGGGGCUCCGGCUGCAUGGGGGGGGUUGGAAAUUUUCGGCGGUUGGGGAUGGACUCGCGGCUUAUCAGCUUGUUGGUGGGGUAGUGGCUUACCAAGGCUUUGACGGGUAGCCGGCCUGAGAGGGUGACCGGCCACAUUGGGACUGAGAUACGGCCCAGACUCCUACGGGAGGCAGCAGUGGGGAAUAUUGCACAAUGGGCGGAAGCCUGAUGCAGCAACGCCGCGUGCGGGAUGACGGCCUUCGGGUUGUAAACCGCUUUCGCCUGUGACGAAGCGUGAGUGACGGUAAUGGGUAAAGAAGCACCGGCUAACUACGUG